rnacentral:rRNA from 1 species
UCGAUUCCCUUAGUAGCGGCGAGCGAAACGGGAAGAGCCCAAACCAACAAGCUUGCUUGUUGGGGUUGUAGGACACUCUAUACGGAGUUACAAAGGACGACAUUAGACGAAUCAUCUGGAAAGAUGAAUCAAAGAAGGUAAUAAUCCUGUAGUCGAAAAUGUUGUCUCUCUUGAGUGGAUCCUGAGUACGACGGAGCACGUGAAAUUCCGUCGGAAUCUGGGAGGACCAUCUCCUAAGGCUAAAUACUCUCUAGUGACCGAUAGUGAACCAGUACCGUGAGGGAAAGGUGAAAAGCACCCCGGAAGGGGAGUGAAAUAGAACCUGAAACCGUGUGCUUACAAGUAGUCAGAGCCCGUUAAUGGGUGAUGGCGUGCCUUUUGUAGAAUGAACCGGCGAGUUACGAUUUGAUGCAAGGUUAAGCAGUAAAUGUGGAGCCGUAGCGAAAGCGAGUCUGAAUAGGGCGUUUAGUAUUUGGUCGUAGACCCGAAACCAGGUGAUCUACCCUUGGUCAGGUUGAAGUUCAGGUAACACUGAAUGGAGGACCGAACCGACUUACGUUGAAAAGUGAGCGGAUGAACUGAGGGUAGCGGAGAAAUUCCAAUCGAACCUGGAGAUAGCUGGUUCUCUCCGAAAUAGCUUUAGGGCUAGCCUCAAGUGAUGAUUAUUGGAGGUAGAGCACUGUUUGGACGAGGGGCCCCUCUCGGGUUACCGAAUUCAGACAAACUCCGAAUGCCAAUUAAUUUAACUUGGGAGUCAGAACAUGGGUGAUAAGGUCCGUGUUCGAAAGGGAAACAGCCCAGACCACCAGCUAAGGUCCCAAAAUAUAUGUUAAGUGGAAAAGGAUGUGGCGUUGCCCAGACAACUAGGAUGUUGGCUUAGAAGCAGCCAUCAUUUAAAGAGUGCGUAAUAGCUCACUAGUCGAGUGACACUGCGCCGAAAAUGUACCGGGGCUAAACAUAUUACCGAAGCUGUGGAUUGUCCUUUGGACAAUGGUAGGAGAGCGUUCUAAGGGCGUUGAAGCAUGAUCGUAAGGACAUGUGGAGCGCUUAGAAGUGAGAAUGCCGGUGUGAGUAGCGAAAGACGGGUGAGAAUCCCGUCCACCGAUUGACUAAGGUUUCCAGAGGAAGGCUCGUCCGCUCUGGGUUAGUCGGGUCCUAAGCUGAGGCCGACAGGCGUAGGCGAUGGAUAACAGGUUGAUAUUCCUGUACCACCUAUAAUCGUUUUAAUCGAUGGGGGGACGCAGUAGGAUAGGCGAAGCGUGCGAUUGGAUUGCACGUCUAAGCAGUAAGGCUGAGUAUUAGGCAAAUCCGGUACUCGUUAAGGCUGAGCUGUGAUGGGGAGAAGACAUUGUGUCUUCGAGUCGUUGAUUUCACACUGCCGAGAAAAGCCUCUAGAUAGAAAAUAGGUGCCCGUACCGCAAACCGACACAGGUAGUCAAGAUGAGAAUUCUAAGGUGAGCGAGCGAACUCUCGUUAAGGAACUCGGCAAAAUGACCCCGUAACUUCGGGAGAAGGGGUGCUCUUUAGGGUUAACGCCCAGAAGAGCCGCAGUGAAUAGGCCCAAGCGACUGUUUAUCAAAAACACAGGUCUCUGCUAAACCGUAAGGUGAUGUAUAGGGGCUGACGCCUGCCCGGUGCUGGAAGGUUAAGAGGAGUGGUUAGCUUCUGCGAAGCUACGAAUCGAAGCCCCAGUAAACGGCGGCCGUAACUAUAACGGUCCUAAGGUAGCGAAAUUCCUUGUCGGGUAAGUUCCGACCCGCACGAAAGGCGUAACGAUUUGGGCACUGUCUCAACGAGAGACUCGGUGAAAUCAUAGUACCUGUGAAGAUGCAGGUUACCCGCGACAGGACGGAAAGACCCCGUGGAGCUUUACUGUAGCCUGAUAUUGAAAUUCGGCACAGCUUGUACAGGAUAGGUAGGAGCCUUUGAAACGUGAGCGCUAGCUUACGUGGAGGCGCUGGUGGG